rnacentral:rRNA from 1 species
UGGGGAAUUUUCCGCAAUGGGCGAAAGCCUGACGGAGCAAUGCCGCGUGGAGGUGGAAGGCCUACGGGUCGUCAACUUCUUUUCUCGGAGAAGAAACAAUGACGGUAUCUGAGGAAUAAGCAUCGGCUAACUCUGUGCCAAA